AGCUUUGCGCAGUGGCAGUAUUGUAGCCAAUGAAGUUUAUCUGAGGCCCAAUUAUUGCUAAUUGAAAACUGAGUCACCAGAAUUGCAGUCUAGAUGGCCGCCUUAGAAUGCCACAUAAUUCUGAAAUAUGUUAACUUUAGAAAGUUUCUUUAAGAAG
rfam:Otolemur garnettii contig166956, whole genome shotgun sequence.